GACGAACGCUGGCGGCGUGCCUAACACAUGCAAGUCGAACGGGGUUUAAUGGAAUGCGGCUUCGGCCAAAGGAAGUUAAACUUAGUGGCGAACGGGUGAGUAACGCGUGAAGAACCUGCCUUUCAGUGGGGGACAACAGUUGGAAACGACUGCUAAUACCGCAUAAUGUAUUUGAGUGGCAUCACUUAAAUACCAAAGCUUUAUGUGCUGAAAGAUGGCUUCGCGUCUGAUUAGCUAGAUGGCGGGGUAACGGCCCACCAUGGCGACGAUCAGUAGCCGGUCUGAGAGGAUGAACGGCCACAUUGGGACUGAGAUACGGCCCAGACUCCUACGGGAGGCAGCAGUGGGGAAUAUUGGGCAAUGGGGGAAACCCUGACCCAGCAACGCCGCGUGAAGGAAGAAGGCCUUCGGGUUGUAAACUCUGUCCUUAUUGAGAGAGGUAGCAGUGUG
rnacentral:rRNA from 1 species